rnacentral:lncRNA from 1 species
CACAUGCCCACUUCUCCUUCCCCGCCCCAUUUCUGGGAUGGGCCUCGUUCUUAUUUAUUUGAGGGCUCAAAUAAAAACUACAACCCCCGCACUAAAGCAAGAAUUUGAAACUCAAAUAUCCUUUACAUCAUAGCAUAGAAAGCAGUGCUUUAUCUACGAUCAAUUCUAUUUUUUACCUUUUCCCUCAUUCUUUCCCGCC